GUUAAUCCAGCCUCUAAUGGCAGUCUCAUUGACAGCCGCUAGAGGCGCUUGUCACUGUGAUUUUCACAGUGAGAAGACGCUGCCGUCCAUAGGAAAGCAUUGAGAAAUGCUUUCCUAUGGACUGAUUGAAUGCGCGCGCAGCUCUUGCCGCACAUGCGCAUUCACCACUGACGUCGGAAGAGGGAGGAGAGCCCCCAGCGCAGAAGGAGC